rnacentral:piRNA from 1 species
UCCUUUGUAGCAAUGGUUCCAGUAU